AUGGCCUCGGCAGAGCACGGCAAGAAGCUGCGGGUCCUCAUCGUGCCCUUCUUCGCAACCAGCCACAUCGGCCCUCACACCGACCUCGCCGUGCGCCAUGCCGGGUACCGUCGAGCCUACGGUGGCGGUCACCCCAGCCAACGUGUCCGUCGUUCGGUCCGCGCUCGAGCGGCACGACCCGUCCGCAGCGAGUAUCGCCGUCAGGAUAGCCACCUACCCGUUCCCGGACAUGACCGGUCAGCGGCCCGUGCAGGAGGCGCUCAUCAGGGAGCUGUCCCCUUCUUCUGGAACGCCACCAUCGCCGAUGAAGUCGGCGUGCCGUGCAUUACCAUCAGUGUCGUUGGCCUCUUCUCAAGGCUUGCCAUGCGCCACCUCCGAGGCGCCGUCGAGGGCGACUCGGACUGCCAGGAGGUGAUCGUCCCUGGGUUUCCAGGGCCGGAGAUACGGAUCCCGAGGACUGAACUGCCGGAGUUCUUGAGGUGCCAAGCGAAACACGACCGAUUUGGAGGCCCGAUCAUGGCCGGGCAAGCCAGGUGCUUCGGCCUCGCCGUCAACACGUUCUCAGUACUGCGAGUCUUACACGCAAGGCCACGUGAAGCGCGCCUACUUCGUCGGGCCAGUGUCGCUGCCGUUGCCACCGGCCGGAGCCAGCGGCGAGGGCGAGGCGUCGUGCAUCAGUUGGCUGGGCUCGAUGCCAAGAUACUCGGUGGUGUACGUAUGCUUCGGCACCUACGCUUCGAUCUCGAAUGA
rnacentral:rRNA from 1 species